rnacentral:ncRNA from 1 species
GGCUACAGCACUUUUUCUGUUCACUUGGUAUUCAUAAGAUGACAUGUUUCACAAAUUAUUGCUUAGUAAAUACCAUAACAAGUUGCAAGUAGUUUAUUGGAGUUUUAAGGUUAAAAUGCCAUAAAGUUUUACUUUUCCUAUUCAGAGCUGAUAGUUGGGUGGCUUCUAGAAAAGAGUCAAAUUUACAGAAGGUCUUCUGGAACAGGACUCCGAUUCUAUUUUGUUGGUUUUCGGAAAUGGGGCUAUGAUUAAGAGGGACCGCUGGGGGCAUUUCUAUUGUGCUGCUAGAGGUCAAAUUCUUGGACCGGUGCAAGAUGACCUAGAGCAAAAACAUUUGCCAAGAAUGUUUUCAUUAAUCAAGAAUGAAAGUCAGAAGUUUGAAGAUGGUCAGAUACUGUUGUAGUUCUGACCAUAAAUUAUGUUGACUGGCAAGAAAUUUUCAGGGGAGUCUCUGUGGCACAAUUGGUGAGUGCGUUUGGCUGUUAACUGAAAGGUUGGUGGUUCAAGCCC